AUGAACGCUGGCGGUAUGCUUAACACAUGCAAGUCGAACGGACUCUUCGGAGUUAGUGGCGGACGGGUGAGUAACGCGUGAGAAUCUGGCUUUGGGUUCGGGACAACCACUGGAAACGGUGGCUAAUACCGGAUGUGCCGAGAGGUAAAAGAGAAAUUGCCUGAAGAUGAGCUCGCGUCUGAUUAGCUAGUUGGUGAGGUAAAGGCUCACCAAGGCAGCGAUCAGUAGCUGGUCUGAGAGGAUGACCAGCCACACUGGGACUGAGACACGGCCCAGACUCCUACGGGAGGCAGCAGUGGGGAAUGUUCCGCAAUGGGCGAAAGCCUGACGGAGCAAUACCGCGUGAGGGAAGAAGGCUCUUGGGUUGUAAACCUCUUUUCUUAGGGAAGAACAAAAUGACGGUACCUAAGGAAUCAGCAUCGGCUAACUCCGUG
rnacentral:rRNA from 1 species